rnacentral:lncRNA from 1 species
GAAGGAGUUGUGAUACACAAGUUCCUUCUCCAGCUCCAGUUCUAAGUGUUAUUUUACCUUAUUUUCAGGAUUACCCUUCAUUAUAUUUUAUUGAUUUUGGCUUAAAAGCAUUUGGAUCUAUGGCUGUAACAGAAGGAGUGUGAAGAACAGCAGGGAAAAGGACGUGUUUCUGUAUGUUUUCAGUUGCCCUGAGAAGCUCCUUUGCCUGGUAAUGAUUUGGGAAGAGGACACUUCAUACGGAUGAAGACACCAUCACUUCCAGCACAGUCUUGCCAAAAAGCAACAGGUGCU